rnacentral:rRNA from 1 species
GAUGAACGCUGGCGGCGUGCUUAACACAUGCAAGUCGAACGGUGAAGCAGAGCUUGCUCUGUGUAUCAGUGGCGAACGGGUGAGUAACACGUGAGCACCCUGCCCCUUACUCUGUGAUAAGCGCUGGAAACGGCGUCUAUUACUUAACAUGAGCUGCGACCGCCUGGUCAGCAGUUGGAAAGAUUUUUCGGUAUGGGAUGGGCUCACGGCCUAUCAGCUUGUUGGUUAGGUAAUGGCUCACCCAGGCGUCGCGGGGUAGCCGGCCUGAGAGGGUGACCGGCGACAAUGGGACUGAGACACGGCCCAGAGGCGUACGGGAGGCAGCAGUGGGGAAUAUUGCACAAUGGGCGAAAGCCUGAGGCAGCGACGCCGCGUGAGGGAUGACGGCCUUCGGGUUGUAAACCUCUUUUAGCAGGGAAGAAGCGAAAGUGACGGUACCUGAAGAAAAAGCGCCGGCUAACUACGUG